rnacentral:other from 1 species
GAAGUUCUGGGAUAUACGCUAGGCUCUAUAUUUUGAACCUACAUCACAAGUACGGGAGUUCAAUAUUUAGAUAUGGAUAUGAACCUUAUUGUGAGACCUAUAAAUGGCAUUAGGGAGAUAGAAACAUCUGUGAGAACACCCACCUAUCGGAAGAUAGGUGUCAAAUUGGAGCUACGGUAUUUUGGAUAUUAU